GCCCUCACUGUGCAUCUUUUGUGGUCAAAUUGUCAGCUUCAGAAAUAGUUAGAAAAAAAAAGUUAGAACCUUCCACAAUAAGUACCUAAAGAAGCAACAUUCAGGAAGACAUAAAGGACAGAUGCACCUUCUUUCACAUUAUUGGUGGAUGGAUCAGUGAUGACUAAGGAAGAACUACCACAUUUUCAGGCUGUGUGUGCAGGGACUGGAUCACAAGGAAUAGGAGGAAAUCUGCCAAAGAGGGUGCAGCUAGCCCUUGGAAAUCCUGGUAAUCCUUUAGGUCAAUGAUCUAGAGGUAGAGGCCAUUUCACCCCUUGCUUGAAGGGGUGAUGGCUAGUGAGAAGCUUGCUUACUUCCUCAUACUUAGACCAGCACUAAACCCUAACCAAACACAGACAUUUGAAAGAGAAGAAGGCUUCCUCUUGUACAAAUUGGAUUUGUUCUGAAAAGAAAAAGAGCAGAGGCAGCUUCCAGAAGGACCUAUCUUAUAGGAAGUAAGAGCAGACGCCAAGACUGAAGUGGAUGGAUGCCAGGUCAGAGCAGGGAAUGUGUCCAUCAAGAGCUUGCAACAAAGCUAAAGCACCCAAGUGAGUUUCAGAAAGAAGAAGCGAUGGCUACAGUGAUACUGGAGAGCAUCUUUCUCAAGCGAUCCCAACAGAAAAAGAAAACAUCACCUUUAAACUUCAAGAAGCGCCUCUUUCUCUUGACUGUGAAUAAACUUUCCUAUUAUGAGUAUGACUUUGAACGUGGGAGAAGAGGCAGUAAGAAGGGUUCAAUAGAUGUUGAGAAGAUCACCUGCGUUGAAACAGUGGUUCCUGAAAAAAAUCCUCCCCCUGAAAGACAGAUUCCGAGAAGGGGUGAAGAAUCCAGUGAAAUGGAGCAGAUUUCUAGCAUUGAAAGGUUCCCUUAUCCCUUCCAGGUUGUAUAUGAUGAAGGGCCUCUUUAUGUCUUCUCCCCAACUGAAGAACUGAGGAAGCGUUGGAUUCAUCAGCUCAAAAAUGUAAUCCGGUACAACAGUGAUCUGGCACAGAAAUACCAUCCUUGCUUCUGGAUCGAUGGGCAGUAUCUCUGCUGCUCUCAGACAGCCAAAAAUCCAAAAUCCCCUACUUUUUCCUCCUCAACUACACAGAUCUUGAAAAAGCCUCUGCCCCCUGAGCCAACAGCAGCACCUGCCUCUACAAGUGAGCUGAAAAAGGUUGUAGCCCUUUAUGAUUAUAUGCCAAUGAAUGCAAAUGAUCUACAGCUACGAAAGGGUGAUGAGUAUUUUAUCCUGGAGGAGAGCAACUUACCCUGGUGGAGAGCGCGGGAUAAAAAUGGGCAAGAAGGCUACAUCCCUAGUAACUAUGUCACCGAAGCAGAAGACUCCAUAGAAAUGUAUGAGUGGUAUUCUAAACACAUGACUCGGAGUCAAGCUGAGCAACUGCUAAAGCAAGAGGGGAAAGAAGGAGGCUUCAUUGUCAGAGACUCCAGCAAAGCAGGAAAAUAUACUGUGUCUGUGUUUGCUAAAUCUACAGGGGACUCUCAAGGGGUGAUACGCCAUUAUGUUGUGUGUUCCACACCUCAGAGCCAGUAUUACCUGGCUGAGAAGCACCUUUUCAGCACCAUCCCUGAACUCAUUAACUACCAUCAGCAUAACUCUGCAGGACUCAUAUCUAGGCUCAAAUAUCCAGUGUCUCAACAAAACAAGAAUGCACCUUCCACUGCAGGCCUGGGCUACGGAUCAUGGGAAAUCGAUCCAAAGGACCUGACCUUCUUAAAGGAGCUGGGGACUGGACAAUUUGGGGUAGUGAAAUAUGGGAAAUGGAGAGGCCAGUAUGAUGUGGCCAUCAAGAUGAUCAAAGAAGGCUCCAUGUCCGAGGAUGAGUUCAUUGAAGAAGCCAAGAAUCUUUCCCAUGAGAAGCUGCGCCCCAUCUUCAUCAUCACUGAGGAAAUGCGCCACCGCCUCCAGACUCAGCAGCUGCUGGAGAUGUGCAAGGAUGUCUGUGAAGCCAUGGAAUACCUGGAGUCAAAGCAAUUUCUUCACCGAGACCUGGCAGCCCGAAACUGUUUGGUAAAUGAUCAAGGAGUUGUUAAAGUAUCUGACUUCGGCCUGUCCAGGUAUGUCCUGGAUGAUGAAUACACAAGCUCAGUAGGCUCCAAAUUUCCAGUCCGGUGGUCUCCACCAGAAGUCCUUAUGUAUAGCAAGUUCAGCAGCAAAUCUGACAUUUGGGCUUUUGGUGAGUGGAUAAAAUUGUACAGAUUAUAUAGCUCAAAAGGAAGGGAAAGCAGUGGGGAAAUUGCCACUUUGUAACCUGCACACAGAGGUUACUAUUUGUUGUUUUCAUUCUUCUAAUCCUUCGGGCGUGCUUACUAUUGUCAGGCACCACAGGGG
ensembl:lncRNA